UACGUAGGGGUCUAGCGUUGUCCGGAAUCAUUGGGCGUAAAGAGCUCGUAGGCGGUUCGGCAAGUCGGAUGUGAAAUCUCCACGCUCAACGUGGAGGGGCCAUUCGAAACUGCCGUGACUCGAGUCCGGUAGGGGAGUGCGGAAUUCCCGGUGUAGCGGUGAAAUGCGCAGAUAUCGGGGGGAACACCAGUGGCGAAGGCGGCACUCUGGGCCGGAACUGACGCUGAGGAGCGAAAGCGUGGGGAGCGAACAGG
rnacentral:rRNA from 1 species